rnacentral:lncRNA from 1 species
UCACAGGUGACCUGCUAUCGAGAUAGCCAGAGGGUCAGGAGAGAAUGGGGGAGGAGGCGGUCAGGCUGCUGAGGAAACACCACAGGCUGAACGGGGGAGGAAUGCACAUGCCACGCUGGGUGUCCCGGGUCGCGGGGAGGCAGCUCAGCUCUUAGGAGCGAGUUGUGGGGGCUUUUCAAGAGGGGCCAGGCUUCCUGGAGGGUGACUGAUGUGGCCGAAGCAGGUGUCCAGGCAGGUAGGCUGCAGCCAGGAGCUCCCUGGCACUGCAGGACCUCGUGGUACUCUUGCCUUAGAUUUUACACACACUCCACAGCCAAGCACUGCCACGGUCCUCCAGGACCUGGGAAGCAAAGGCCCAGGCCCACGGUGGCCAGCCAUUGUGGUGCUGCCCCAGCUUCUGGAUACAGCCUUUUGGGUAAACACUGGGAACUCCAGAAGUUGUGGGGAGAGUGGGGAAUCAGACAGCCGCCUCUAGGGGCUGGGUUCUGCCGGGGCCUCCUUGUUGGUGCUGUAGGCACCCGCCAGGGAGCAGGGACCCGACUUGCAGACGCAUUGCCCGGUACUAGGAAGGAGUGAGGUGUGUUCCCACCAUACACUUCCCACACGAGCUGCGGCUGCCAGCCUCGGGCCAUCAGCCUAGGAGAGCAGAUGCAGCUCCAGGGGCUCGACUUAUAGCCAGUUACAGCUCCCCGGCUCUUCUGUGUGGCAGAGCGUCGUUUCGGGGCCCUCAGGGCUGGGGAGCUCAGUUCCCAUUGCUUGUGCUCAGGGCUGAGUCUUAAAGAAGGGUUUGCCGGCCCUAACGCUGCAGCGCGUGCGCGGUGAGAGGCCCUUUUUGAGCCUGUUUACUCCUGUGGCCUUGGGCAGAACAGUAAAUACUCUGUGCACGGAGGAAAGACAUGCCCAAGAGGAAGGAAGUACUGACCAUCGGCUGCCUGUGAGCAGCUUAGCAAGGAGCCCUUGCUCCCUGGGAAAGGCGGUGAACUUGAGUCUAAAGAUGCAGCGCCUGGCCCUUCCUAAGGUCCCUGCCUGGCAUCCGAGUGUCGGUGUGUGGCACAGAAGGCUCCUGCUUGCUUCCAAAGUGAUGGACAGGAAGGGGCAGAGUGAGUCACGGCCCAGACUGGGCACCUUCGCGUCUCAGCCUCAGGGAGCCCCACAGCCCCAAGCUCGCUGAGGCAACGUGAGAACAGGCUAUGGGAAGGCUGCAAAGGCUGAGAAAUGCAAAGGCUCAUAUUUAUAAAUCCCACCCCCAGAGUGGGGAGGGUCAGGUGCCAGACCUGGACUAAACUGCACCAAGGAAACACCCAGCAGGGUCUCCUGUGAGCCGGGGACCAUGCAGCCCGGAACCUCCAGUCACUGCGCCCGGCAGGAGUCAGGAGCCAGGGACUGUGCAGCCCGGGACCUCCAGUCGCUGUGCCCGGCAGGAGUCAGGCUAAGGUUUCUGCUGAUACACAGGUAGGAUGGGACCCUUCAUGAAUAUCUGACUUUAAUAAGUUGGUAAGGAUAUUUUUUUUGUCUAUGUUCUGUUUCAACUUAUGUAGAUUAUUAUAAAUUGAUGUAAACCACGUGAGAGGAAAAUGUUAAUAAAAAAUGCAAAGCCCCAACAUUUGCACAAAACUCAGCCCUGUGGUGUGGAUGUUUGUGUUCGCGGUGGUCCAGGGAAGCCACCAAUGUAAAUAUUUAACUCUUGCAGCUGCAUCCAGAUGUGAGUUUCCAGGAAUCUGUUUACCUAGUUCACUCCCCUUGAGCCUCCCUGUGGCCCACGGGGGCUGGGGCAGAGCUGCGGGGAGGUGAGCUGGAGCCCUCUCCUUGCUCUUCACAAAGGCCUCCGGAUCAGCCAGCAUCCAGGCUGCUUCUGGCUCGCCUUUGCCAUGUGCUGCUACAGUACAAAUGUCCCACCUGGGACCUGGCCAUCGGUGUGCCUUGAAAGUGGCAUGAAGUUGUCCACUGAACAGGAAGCGUCUUCUUUUAUGUAAACGCUUCUCAACGCUUUCCUUCAAAGUGGCAUAUCUUUGAGGCAGCCUUUUGGUCUAAUCUGCUUGUCAGAGAAGCUGGGUCUCCGAGGGCCCACCCUCCCUUUGAGAGAGUCAGUGGCGUGAAUAUUGGCUCCCACCAGCCGAAGCAACUGGACACUGAGUUUAUUCUGAAGAUCAGGAACAGAUGUCUCUGAAAAUUGCUGUUUGGUUUAUGAGCUCAUACUGGCUCCCCAGCCAUCGAAAACAGGAAACUAUUCAUCUCUCGAGUGAAUAGGCAGCGUGGACAAAGCCUCGCUUACUGAACCGAUGGCUACUGACAGCCCUGGCGCUCAUCUUUUCCAAGGCUGUUGUGAGGGCAGCAUCUCUUGUAUUUGGUCCCACGUGCUAGACUGAAAGAUGGAAGAUCCCAGGCAUCCUAGGACUUUGACAGGUACCAGGUGGGAAUGUCUGCCCUUGCUUCAGAGUGCUUGUAGGUGUCCUAUAUUUAGGGACAGCAGAGGAAACAAUUUGUUCUGAGCUCUAGGGAAUGCUCCAACUGGCCUAGCAGUGAUGAAGCCUCCUGGCUGUGAGACUGGGAGGGGCGUUAUAUAGAAUUCGCCGUAAAAGGACAUGAGCCCUGAGCAGGAACUCACAUUCAUUCCAAGAAAAUGGCAAACAUGACCCAAGGAAGGUGUUACCAGCUGGGUUUGACAUCAUCACUCAUGUACAAACACUCGGGCCUCCAGGCCAUGUACACUGAGUGUGAACGCUGGUUAAGAGCGUGUGGGCCAGAAGACAGGGCAGAUGAGGAAGAAGGCAAAAAAGGAAAGGACAGAGGAAUUACCGUAUUAUAGGAAAAAGGAGACUCAUCACCACUGGCUGAAGGUGCCCAGCACUGUGUGGCCCCCGCCAAGUGACCUGCCUGUGCCCCACCCAAGAGCAAAGGCCUGACUCCAGCAGUGUCAUCCCCCCACAGAGCACCAGGGUAAAGCAGCACCAGUGCUGAAGCCCAACUGUAGACGGAUUUUUUUUUUUUAAAAUAUCCAUGGCACACAACUAGGCCAAGAAAAAUACCACAAGGUGAAGUCGAAAACACGACAUGUUAAAACACUUCCUUGACCCUGGAGAACGAGGAUGGUGGUGAACAGCCCCUCAGCGACGUCUGAUCUUGGCCAGUAGCUGCUGUGACCGAGUCACCAAGAUGACCACAGCAGGACCCUUCACACGUGGCCUCAAGCUCGGCCAGGUCCAGCAGUCACGUCGUGAAACCAGUGUGUGCCUCUCGGCCGGCACAGGAGGGUUUUUCUACAAGGGGCCCAUCGAGUUCACGGAUGGGAUUUCACUGCAUCCCAGGAAAAGGCUGGGCUGGGCUUCCUGAGGCAGGCCCUGGCAGAUGUAAUGAUCUUGGUGAGGAUGACACAGACCUCUAACAACCCUGCCUCAGCGCCCCAUCCCCCGCUUCCCUGGGAGCUUUCUCAUUCUUUCCCUUCAGAUGUUAUCUUUGGGCCACCCGGCACUAUUUUUGGAAUAGGGAAUUUGAAAAUAAAAUACAAAUAAACCAACCUUUUGAACUGUAAGGUGUGUGGCGGUGGGGGAGGGGAGCGUAUUUUUAAAAAAAAACAAGGAUGACAGAACACAAAACAAGUGAGAUAAUUGGUUGGACGGCAUCAGUCCGCCUUGCCCUGCCCUGGUAUUCGAGACGGAUAGUUGCAUGGAGUUCCAAGGUAGAACAGCUUCCUGAGUGCCUGCAGAGACACUGUCACCUCUGUGCCCACAACACCAAACAACCUAGAGGGCCAGCUGUGGUCAGGCCUGAAGCUUUGUGGAGCUGAAUUCCUGUAUGUCAACAUCCUGUCUCCCGAUCUGCUGUGAGAGAAUCUGGCACGGGACGCCCUCUGUGAAGGCUGGCUGGAGUCCAGGAGCAGCAAAGUGUGGCUGCCCUGAAGGCUGGAGGCAGAGGAGCCAGGCAGCUCCCUCAGAAUACCAACGACAUGAGGGAAAAUGAAUGUCUUCAGGCCCUGAAGCAAGGCCCUGGUGUGGUACAGAAACUGUCCUCCAGAGAGCAGCCCGGAUCCGGGGCUGGCAUCAUCCUUCCCUGCAGGCAAUUACUCUCACCGGAGGUAAUAAUCAAUCGCAGCAGAGAAAGCAGCAAAACC